AGGGCGCAGGGCGAAUGCCUUGGCACUGGGAGCCGAUGAAAGACGUGAUAAGCUGCGAUAAGCUUCGGGGAGCUGCAAAUAAGCAUUGAUCCGGAGAUUUCUGAAUGAGGAAACUCACCUGGGUUCAUACUCAGGUACGUUAUACUGAACUUAAAAAUAGGUAUAUCGAGGGAACCGCCUGAACUGAAACAUCUAAGUAGGGCGAGGAAGAGACAUCAAACGAGAUUCCGUAAGUAGUGGCGAGCGAACGCGGAAGAGGGCAAACCGGAAGUAGAAAUACUUCCGGGGUACGGACCGCAUUUAGGACUUGAGUUGUUAACCGAACGGCAUGGGAAGGCCGGUCAGAGAGUGUGAGAACCACGUAGGUGAAAACGACAAGAGCUGAGCGAGUUCCAGAGUACGGCCAGACACGUGAAACCUGGUCGGAAUAUGGGGGGACCACCCUCCAACCCUAAAUACUACCCAGUGACCGAUAGCGUAUAGUACUGUGAAGGAAAGGUGAAAAGCACCCCGGGAGGGGAGUGAAAAAGAACCUGAAACCCUGUGCCUACAAGCACCUAGAGCACGUCAAUGUGUGAUAGGGUACUUUUUGUAGAACGGUCCGGCGAGCGAUUGUAUGCAGCAAGGUUAAGGACUUAAGGUCUGGAGCCGAAGCGAAAGCGAGUUUGAAAAGGGCGUUAAGUUGCAUACAAUGGGCCCGAAACCGGGUGACCUACCCAUGGUCAGGUUGAAGUGGAAGUAAAAUUCCAUGGAGGACCGAACCGACCUCCGUUGAAAAGGCGGCGGAUGAACUGUGGGUAGCGGAGAAAUUCCAAUCGAACCCGGAGAUAGCUGGUUCUCCCCGAAAUAGUUUUAGGACUAGCCUCAAGUUAGAUACCUGGAGGUAAAGCACUGAAUAGCCUAGCGGCCGAGAGGUUAGCGAAGCUUAUCAAACUCAGAAUGCCAGAGUAUUGAUGCUUGGGAGUCAGACAGUGUCAGAUAAAUGUCAUUGUCAAAAGGGAAACAGCCCAGAUCUACAGCUAAGGUCCCAAAGUCAGGUUAAGUGGAAAACGAUGUGAAGAUACGUAGACAACCAGGAUGUUGGCUCAGAAGCAGCCACACAUUCAAAGAGUGCGUAAUAGCUCACUGGUCGAGCGUCUUUGCGCGGAGAAUUUAACGGGGCUAAACCUGACACCGAAGCUUAGGCAAUACAGCAAUGUAUUGGGUAGGGGAGCGUUGUAUACGCGGUGAAACAGUAGCGCAAGCGGCUGUGGAGUGUAUAGAAGUGAGAAUGCCGGAAUGAGUAGCGCGAAUGCAGUGAGAAUCUGCAUGGCCGAAAGCCUCAGGUUUCUGGAGGAAGGUUCGUCCGCUCCAGGUUAGUCGGGAGCUAAGGUGAGGCCUAACGGCGUAGCCGAUGCACAGACGGUAGAGAUUCCGUCACCACCAAAAGAGUUAAACACAGGGACACAUUUGAAGUCUCGGAGCCGGGUGUUGGUUCCGGUAGCGAUCGAGGGAAGUUAGUACCGAAGUCCGGGAUGGAAGAUGGCGAGAAAAGCUGUGUGUAUUUCUGCGGUGCCCGUACCGCAAACCGACACAGGUAGGUAGGAAGAAGAUUCUAAGGCCAACGGGAGAAGGGUUGUUAAGGAACUCGGCAAAUUGACCCCGUAACUUCGGGAGAAGGGGUGCUCCAGAGAUGGAGCCGCAGAGAAUCGGCCCAAGCAACUGUUUACCAAAAACACAGGUUUGUGCUAAAUCGAAAGAUGACGUAUACGAGCUGACGCCUGCCCGGUGCUGGAAGGUUAAGAGGAGAUGUGCAAGCAUUGAAUCGAAGCCCCAGUGAACGGCGGCCGUAACUAUAACGGUCCUAAGGUAGCGAAAUUCCUUGUCAGGUAAGUUCUGACCCGCAUGAAAGGCGUAAUGAUUUGGGCACUGUCUCGACAGCCCGCCCGGCGAAAUUGUAGUACCGGUGAAGAUGCCGGUUACCCGCGACAAGACGGAAAGACCCCAUGGAGCUUUACUGUAGCCUAAUAUUGGGUUUCGAUGUUGCAUGCACAGGAUAGAUGGGACACAGGGAAACAAGUGCUUUGGCAUUUGUGGAGUGGCCGUUGGGAUACCAUCCUUGCGAUAUUGGAAUUCUAACCUGCGCCUUUGAAUCAAGGCGGGGGACAUUGUUAGGUGGGCAGUUUGACUGGGGCGGUCGCCUCCUAAAGAGUAACGGAGGCGUUCAAAGGUUCGCUCAGCUUGAACGGAAAUCAAGCAAAAGAGUGCAAACGCAGAAGCGAGCCUAACUGCGAGACUGACGGGUCGAGCAGUAACGAAAGUUGGAGUUAGUGAUCCGGUGGUAUGUGAGUGGAAAUGCCAUCGCUCAACGGAUAAAAGUUACCCUGGGGAUAACAGGCUGAUCUCCCCCAAGAGUCCACAUCGACGGGGAGGUUUGGCACCUCGAUGUCGGCUCAUCGCAUCCUGGGGCUGUAUUCGGUCCCAAGGGUUUGGCUGUUCGCCAAUUAAAGCGGUACGCGAGCUGGGUUCAGAACGUCGUGAGACAGUUCGGUCCCUAUCUGUCGUGGGCGCAGGAUAUUUGAUGGGAGCUGUUCCUAGUACGAGAGGACCGGAGCGGACGUACCUCUGGCGCACCAGUUGUUCUGCCAAGGGCAUAGCUGGGCAACUAUGUACGGAUCGGAUAAACGCUGAAAGCAUCUAAGCGUGAAGCCGACCCAAAGAUAAGAUAUCCCAUUGU
rnacentral:rRNA from 1 species